UCUAUUAGUGUGUAUAUAUAGGUCAGUCGAGUUCGUCGAGCAAGUCUGCAACCCCGCCCUCGAUUUCGAAUCACUCCGACGACCAAACCAAGGCGGCGGAAGAGCGGCCGCGCUCUGCCGAAUCAUGUACGGAGGAGAUGAAGUGUCGGCGAUGGUGGUCGACUUGGGCUCUCACACCUGCAAGGCGGGUUACGCCGGUGAAGAUGCCCCUAAAGCUGUUUUUCCAUCUGUUGUUGGGUUGAUUGAUGAAAUGGAAGUUGAAAAUACUGAUAAUUCAGACAAGACCGCCGGAUCUACUCCAGAUUCUAAAAUGAAGGGCAAACGGAAAUUGUAUAUAGGAUCACAGGAUUUGGGGUUCCGCCGGGACCACAUGGAGGUGUCUUCUCCCAUCAAGGAUGGAGUAGUAGUGGACUGGGAUAUGGUUGAUAACAUAUGGGACUAUGCUUUGAGGAAAUGCCUUUUGGUUGAUCCAAAGGAACAUCCAAUGCUAUUUGCUGAGCCUUGUUCUAAUACACAGCACCAAAGAGAAAAGACUGCUGAGAUUAUGUUUGAAAAAUUCCAAGUUCCUGCAUUAUUUUUAGCUAAAAACGCAGUCCUCACUUCGUUUGCAUCAGGACGAUCAACUGCUUUAGUUGUUGACUGUGGUGGAGGGUCAACUGUUGUGGCUCCUGUACAAGACGGAUAUGUUCUUCAGAAGGGUGUUUCAACUUCUCCCAUUGGAGGAGAAUUCCUCACUGACUGCUUGUUAAAAAGUCUUGAACACAAAGGGAUUUCAAUAAAGCCUCGAUAUGCAUUUCAACGGAAGGAAAUUCGACCUGGAGAAUUUCAGGUUUUCGAUCUUGAUGUUCCGAAGACAACUGAAAGCUACAAACUCUAUUCCCAGCGGGUGAUCGUUGAUGAUAUCAAAGAAUGUGUAUGUCGAGCUCCAGACACUCCAUAUGAUGAAACUUCAUAUACAAACAUUCCCAUGACGGCUUAUGAACUUCCCGAUGGACAGACGAUUGAAAUUGGUGCCGACAGAUUUAAGAUUCCAGAUGUAUUAUUUAAUCCAUCUUUAGUUCAGACUAUACCUGGUAUGGAAAGUUCGGUCGAGAUGGCUUUCUCUGCUCGUGGUCUUCCGCAAAUGGUCAUUGAGUCCAUAAACAAGUGUGAUGUUGACAUCCGACGAGAACUUUAUAGUAGCAUAUUGCUUUCUGGUGGAACUGCAUCAGUGCAGCAACUAAAGGAACGCCUUGAGAAAGACUUGCUGGAGGAGUCUCCUCAAGCGGCAAGGGUCAAGGUGUUAGCCAGUGGAAAUGCUACAGAAAGGAGAUUCAGUGUGUGGAUUGGAGGAAGUAUACUAGCAUCACUUGGUUCGUUUCAACAGAUGUGGUUCUCAAAGGCUGAGUAUGACGAGCAUGGGGCUUCUUAUAUUCAACGGAAAUGCCCCUGAGCAUGAGGACCUCAUUUGGCUGAAAACAAACUAUUUUAUGGUAGGGAAGACGCAUCGACCAUAGUUGCUACUUUGCUGGUUGAAGUUGAUGCUCACCACUUUGCUCUUGUGGCUGGCAUGGGAUCACCAGCCCUCUCUGAUGCACAUUUUACAUAUAUACAGAUCACUUUUUGUUAAGAAUGGUCGAAUAUCCAAUGUGGUGGGUGGGACAAUAUUGUGUAUGUAUAUGAAGAGGCUGUAAGUAGGGCUGAGAAUCCGUGUCCUUGUGCCCAUUUUUUAUCCUAAGCUUCCAAAUAUUCUUUUUAUGGGCCCAAUUAAAUUCAUGAAUAGUUUCAUUA